UAACUUUUUGGGACCGCUGGAAUUAUAUUACUUGUAUCAAAUACGUUGUGUUUGGGUCGUUUACCUUUGCCGCCCAAGGAAUAAUCUUUCCACUUUCCAUUGAUCCGUUCCGUUGGCACCGUCGAUGUUACUCUCGGACAGAGCUAGAGCUAGAUGUUUUUAGACGAGUUCCUUGGCGUACAAAGGCAGAGGGAGAGAGGGUUUUACGGUUCAAUCGAAAACGGCAACUGCUCGCUUCUCCUCCGCAGCUCCUAUUCGCCGUCGACUUCCACCGCUUCUCUCCGGAGACCCCGUCUGCGGCUACGUCGUCUCUCGAUGAUCCGAACCCUAACUGACCUUCGUGAAAACCCUUACGGGGAAGACGGUCAAGUUGAAUCGAGUGAUACAAUCGACAAUGUCAAGGCCUUUAGAGCUAGAUGUUUCCAGACGAGUUCCUUGGCGUACAAUGGCAGAGGAAGAGGGACUAUGGGUCAGAGUGGAUCUGGGAAUAGGUUUGCUAUCUUGAAUGCAUCUCCUCUUCGCCGUCGACUUCCACCGCCUCCACGUCUGCGGCUACGCGACUGAAAAGACAUUCUCUUGAUGAUCCGAACCCUAUCUGACCUUCGUGAAAACCCUUACUGGGAAGACGGUCAAGGUGAAUCGAGUGCUACCAUCGACAAUGUCAAGGCCAAGGUUUAGGGUUAAUUUCUUAUCAAAGGGCUUCAAGCUGGUGCUAUAAUCUUACUGGAAGAGAAUAGUAGUGAAGCUCUGUUGGAUAGGUACUUUCAAUUUGGGUAUGGGAAGCUUUCUAUGACAGGCAAGGAAAUCGACACUAAUUAGCAAAAAAUCAGCAUUGGUCCAGGGCAUGGUCUAAGCUGCUUGUAUUGGUAACAAACUUCUUGAGGUGACAUUCUCCUGCAAAUCCUAGGCGUUUCCAUUUUGCUUUUUGAGACAGCUGCAUGACUUCUAGGACCUGUUUGGUAUUUUUUUCUCAUUACCGGUUCCACUUAUUUUCUUUCCCUACUUUUGUUUUUAUCACCGUUUUCCUUUCUUAGAACAGUCUCUCUCGCUUGUUUUGGACUAUUGACGGCCUCAUUCAAAGGUCUGGAACCCUCUCUCAGUAACAAAAGAUGUGCUACUGCUAUACGGGGCUUGCCGUUCGUGGGAAUGGGAGUCUUGCCGUACGUUGGAAUGCGAGGUCUUCCAGAACAGUCGCUUCUGAAUUCUCCAUUUGGUAUACGAAGAAGGUUGCGGAACUGAAGUGUCGUCUCUCUGCGCUCAUCUUGUCUCAAGUACCUGGAACAUCUUAUGUGAUACUACUAGCAUAGUUAAACACAAUCUUCGCGAAUAUAUAGUGUGGUCUGUUGGAUUGGCUUGUCUAAGUGAUGCACCGGAAUCUCCAGAAUAUUAAUUGAUUUCCCACUACCUUCAGAUUCUACAGAUAAAAGCUUUCGAUGAUAAAGCUGUGUGAGGUGUUGUUGAAGAACCAGGAACGAUGGUGAGCGCAAUGGAUAUUCGUGACAUGCUCGAUUGACGUCCGAUUCUCUGAUUCUCGAAUAUUCUCAAGUAUUCCUUGUCGCCAAACUUCCGGUGAGGAGAGGCUGUUCGUUUCUUACACUAAGGACUGAGGAAGCUGAGGGACUAGCUCAGGAACUUUAUGUGGCAAGAGUUCAUGAAACCAUGGGAAACACAACUUGAUCUCUAGCAGGUAGUUCGAACAUUGUUUGCACGACUUGAUACUAAGUUUUCUACCUUGAUGGCAAUAAUAUUUUGUAGUAGGCCGAACUAAAUAGCUCGGACCACGCCUCCGGCAAAUACUAGCCGAGGCUGCGCCAAAGGAAGUCCCGUUUACCUUGGAGCCUAGGCUCGGCCAUAACCGGGGCUCGGGAAGGGUCCCACCUUACCUACCCGACGCCUCAGCCGAGAAGAGAGUCCUUCGACUCGGCUAAAGUCAAAACCUAUAUCAACGACCUCAUCUUUUCCUCCCCUCUCCCAGUCGCUCGCCCUUAGGCUUGGCAGAAGACAGGGCUCGGCCCAUUUCAGUGCCACG